rnacentral:lncRNA from 1 species
UGUCUUUUCCUUGGUGUGAGGAGUCCCUUUUUUUUCCUCGCCUAAGAAAGUCUGAUGCUGGUCACCUCUCCUUCCAAGGCUGCCCAGCGAUAACAGCAUAAGUGCAAGACCCGAAUUAGAGAACCCGGAGUAGAGUGGGGGGAAUUCUUCACUUAUCAGUCGGACUGUCGUAUGGAUUUGAGGAAGCGUUGUAUUCAGUGAGACCCUGAAUUAAUUACAAUAACCUCACAGUACAUAUCUGCCACUGCCAGUGCAACUAUAAAUAUUUAAGGAUUUUUGGUAACUGCAAAUAUGCAGAAAACAUGGAUAUUAGAAAGUUUAGAUGACCUUAAUGAAGAAAACAGAGUCGGCUUUGGAAGUUUGCCUGGUAGGAAUGAGGUUUUGUGAAUUUGAUAAACACUGUCGGUUGUUAAGGCAUCUUCUGAUAGGUGAAAAGUGGUUUUUUGAUGCAGUACUGCUUGGCAUGCAUCUUCUCUAUGGUCUAUUAUCUUGUGGGAAUGACAUUCGUUAAGUUGGUAUCUGUGUACAUCCCACCCAAAUAAAGAAUGUUUCAUCAGCAAAGUGAAUUGCCAUAUAGUCAUCAGACUCUAGAAAUAAAUUAUCAACCAUGACUGCAGUGGGUGAGGCUGUUUGUUUAUCAGAUCACUUGAGAACGGAGUAAAGUGAGUUUCAUAUUUUCCUGAGUCUUGAAUUCUCAUUUUAGACAUCUGUUCGGAAGCUUUUUAAGCCAUGGAGUAUUCUAAACGAGCAUUUUGUUAAAUGGAUGAAGGAAGACUUGGUUUUCCAUUGUUAGGUGAAACCUAAUUAAAAAUUAAAUAAUGACCUUGCGUUGGCUUGUAAAUUCCUUAUUUCCUGCAUGUGCGAGUGUAUUUUGUUAGGACAUUCCAUUUUAAAUAUGUGCUUUUAAAAACGACAAUAAAUACUUUUAAAAAAUAUUCCGUUUUUGGAAUCACUGUAAAAUAGCAAAGGAUAGUUUUUGUGGAGACCGGAGGGGAUUGGAAGGUGUUAAGAGUCAGGUAGCUUUUGGAACUGUAUUUUCUAUGAAUAUAGCAGAGUUAGUUUCAUUGUUCUAUUUCACCCUCUUCAGCAUGGUUGCACCUGUCGUGGCAGUUAUCAGAGGCACCGCUAUUUGUGUUAUGUUAGGAAUUCUUUAUACAUUCAAUGAAUGAAACGUCUUCUCUUACAGGCCUGACUCUCUAGUGGACUUCUGGUGAAAUUAUGUCGCUACCUUCCAUUAAUGUUAAUGGCGGUUAUGGAUAUAAAUCCUUCCAGAGUGAGGGAGGAGUGAGCCCCAGAGAAAAGAAUGCUUGUCAUGAAUCAUUGGGUUGUGAUACAGGAUUCACGUGGUCUCCCUAAUACCAUUGUUUUUUUUUCUUCCUAAAAGUUUAAGGUCUUCUAUUUAGGAUCUAGACUUUUUCCAUCCUGAUCUUUUGUUGACAAGUCUCCUGUAAUGUUGAGAACAGAAGAAAAAUAUGGAUUCAUGGGUAGGCAUGAUUUUUGUCUUAUGUAAUGGUAUAGCGUAUAUAUAAUUUUGCGUUUUAUUUAUUAUUUGGUAGACAUAACUUGAAUGUUUUAAGAGGUCAUCAUAUUCCUCACUAGUAAGAAUUGCUUAAUAAUUCAUUAUCCUGACAGACUACAGUUUAUCAUUUAGGUAUUAAAGCUCUCAAAUAUAUUUACUGAGUAUCUACCACGUAUAAGGCUCUGAGCCUAAUGCCUAUGGCAUAGCCCUUAUUUCAAAUUGCCUAUCAUCUUAUGAUAAAAGUAGACCCUAGUCCCUAAGGGACCCCCCCCUGGGCCACAACCUAUGAAAUCUGCCUUGGUUAAAGAAAGGGAAAGGAAGUCAGACUCAAUGAUAUCACCUCUGGGAAUCUGACUGGAGAAAAUAAUUCUAUGUAUAAUGAUAUUUUCAGUCACUAUUGCUUUAGGUAGCUCAUUUACUCAGCUAAGUACUUUUGGCUGCUCACUAUGCACCAGGCACUGUACUAAAUACUGGGAAAUAAAUGAGGAUGGAGUUCCCAUCAUGGUUCAGUGGUUAACGAAUCUGACUAGGAACCAUGAGGUUGCGGGUUCGGGUUCGGUCCCUGCCCUCGCUCAGUGGGUUAACGAUCUGGCGUUGCUGUGAGCUGUGGUGUAGGUCGCAGAUGUGGCUCGGAUCCUGCGUUGCUGUGGCUCUGGUGUAGGCUGGCAGCUACAGCUCCGAUUAGACCCCUGGGGUCUGGGAACCUCCAUAUGCCGUGGGAGUGGCCCAAGAAAU